GGGAGGUUUGCGUCAAUAAAGAGCGCCCGUCAAGAAAAGGGGCUCGCCUGUGGGUUUAAGGGAUGGAACUUGGAGCUCCUCCGUGCAGUCCCGGGUAGACAGCCCGGUUCCUGCACUAGUCGAUUGUGCAGUAGGAAAGGAGGCUGCAGGGGAUCUGCGCUGGGGUAGGACAGCUGCCUUUCGGGACCCAGUGCUUGCAUCUUGGGAGAUGUGGGUGCUGAUCUGGUUGUUUCUCGGUUUAUGACGCCAAAAAGGGCGGGAGGGGGCUGGUGAAGUGAAGCCUUUCGCUAAUAUAUUCCAUUAACAGAA